GAAGGACUGUAGCUCAGUGGCAGAGCAUCUGCUUUGUAUGCAGAAGAUCUGAGGUUCAAUUCCUGGCAUCUUCA